rnacentral:rRNA from 1 species
UCAAGCUAUUAAGGGCGUACGGUGGAUGCCUUGGCGCCAAGAGGCGAUGAAGGGCGUGGUAAGCUGCGAUAAGCUUCGGUAAGCCGCUAAACAGGCUUUGACCCGGAGAUUCCCGAAUGGGGAAACCCGGCUCCGGUCAUGCGGAGUCAUCCCGUGCUGAAUACAUAGGUGCGGGAAGCUAACCGGGGGAACUGAAACAUCUAAGUACCCCGAGGAAGAGAAAGCAAAUGCGAUUCCCUGAGUAGCGGCGAGCGAAACGGGAUCAGCCCAAACCGGAUGAAUGUAAGCCCAUGCGCGUUGUUCAUCCGGGGUUGUGGGACCUGCCAUGCAGGUGUAUGGACCUGUGAGGGAGUUACAAAUUUUUACUCUAGUCGAACGGCCUGGAAAGGCCGACCAGAGACGGUGACAGUCCGGUAGACGAAAGGGUAAAAACUCCCGGCGUGGUUCCCGAGUACCGCGGGACACGAGGAACCCUGUGGGAAUCUGGGAGGACCAUCUCCCAAGGCUAAAUACUCCUUGGCGACCGAUAGUGAACCAGUACCGUGAGGGAAAGGUGAAAAGGACUCCUGGCGGAGAGUGAAAUAGAACCUGAAACCGUAUGCCUACAAGUUGUGGGAGCCCUAUGUUUCCGUCCUGGAUGGGAACAGGGUGACCGCGUGCCUUUUGUAUAAUGAGCCAACGAGUUACUGUACGUAGCGAGGUUAAGCCGGAGAGGUGGAGCCGUAGCGAAAGCGAGUCUGAACAGGGCGAUUCAGUUGCGUGUAGUAGACCCGAAACCGGGUGAUCUAUCCAUGGCCAGGGUGAAGUCUCGGUAACACGAGAUGGAGGCCCGAACCCACUGAGGUUGAAAACUCAGGGGAUGAGCUGUGGAUAGGGGUGAAAGGCCAAUCAAACCCGGAAAUAGCUGGUUCUCCCCGAAAUAUAUUUAGGUAUAGCCUUGCGUAUGGAUCGUGGUGGUAGAGCACUGAAUGGACUAGGGGGCCUACCAGCCUACCAAACCCAAUCAAACUCCGAAUGCCACGAUUCCUCAGCGCAGGAGUCAGCCAGUGGGAGAUAACUUCCAUUGACGAGAGGGAAACAACCCAGACCGCCGGCUAAGGUCCCGAAGUACUAGCUAAGUGGGAAAGGAUGUGAAAUUGCUCUGACAGCCAGGAGGUUGGCUUAGAAGCAGCCACCCUUUAAAGAAAGCGUAACAGCUCACUGGUCGAGUGGUUUUGCGCCGAAAAUGUAACGGGGCUUAAGCUAGUCACCGAAGCCGCGGAUUCAGCCCGUUUCGACGGGUUGAGUGGUAGGGGAGCGUUCCAUGUUGGCUGAAGCUGGACCGUGAGGACUAGUGGACGACAUGGAAGUGAGUAUGUUGGCAUGAGUAACGAUAAAGCCGGUGAGAAACCGGCUCGCCGAAAACCCAAGGUUUCCUGGGGAAGGGUAAUCCGCCCAGGGUCAGUCGGCCCCUAAGCCGAGGCUGAAAAGCGUAGGCGAUGGGAAACAGGUUAAUAUUCCUGUACCAGUCGGAUGUCGUUUGUACGAUGGGGUGACGCAGGAGGGUAGGCCAUCCAGCGAAUGGAAAUGCUGGUCCAAGCACGUAGGGGGACGUUCCAGGCAAAUCCGGAAUGUCAUUAACCCUGAGAUGCGAUGGGGAGGCCGUAAGGCCGCAAACUGGUUGAUCCCACGCUGCCAAGAAAAACCUCUAAGGAGAUAUCCGGUUGACCGUACCGAAAACCGACUCAGGUGGGUGAGGAGAGAAUCCUAAGGCGCUUGAGUGAACCCUCGUUAAGGAACUCGGCAAAAUAGCUCCGUAACUUCGGGAGAAGGAGUGCCCCCAUUAGGUGAAGCCCCUUGCGGGCGGAGCUGAGGGGGGUCGCAGUGACUAGGCCCAUGCGACUGUUUACUAAAAACACAGGACUCUGCUAAGUCGUAAGACGAUGUAUAGGGUCUGACGCCUGCCCGGUGCCGGAAGGUUAAUGGGAGAUGUUAUCCUGGGCUUGUCUCAGGAGAAGCAUUGAACUGAAGCCCCGGUAAACGGCGGCCGUAACUAUAACGGUCCUAAGGUAGCGAAAUUCCUUGUCGGGUAAGUUCCGACCUGCACGAAUGGCGUAACGAUAUGGGCACUGUCUCAACGAGGGACUCAGUGAAAUUACAGUGGCGGUGAAGAUGCCGUCUACCCGCAGAAAGACGGAAAGACCCCGUGAACCUUUACUACAGCUUGACAGUGAAUCUAGGGACAGUAUGUGUAGGAUAGGUGGGAGGCUUUGAAACCUUGACGCUAGUUGGGGUGGAGCCGACCUUGAAAUACCACCCUUAUUGUUCUUGGGUUCUAACCUGGGC